GAAGGAGGAGCUUGCUUCUCUGGAUGAGUUGCGAACGGGUGAGUAACGCGUAGGUAACCUGCCUGGUAGCGGGGGAUAACUAUUGGAAACGAUAGCUAAUACCGCAUAAGAGUAGAUGUUGCAUGACAUUUGCUUAAAAGGUGCAAUUGCAUCACUACCAGAUGGACCUGCGUUGUAUUAGCUAGUUGGUGGGGUAACGGCUCACCAAGGCGACGAUACAUAGCCGACCUGAGAGGGUGAUCGGCCACACUGGGACUGAGACACGGCCCAGACUCCUACGGGAGGCAGCAGUAGGGAAUCUUCGGCAAUGGACGGAAGUCUGACCGAGCAACGCCGCGUGAGUGAAGAAGGUUUUCGGAUCGUAAAGCUCUGUUGUAAGGGAAGAACGAGUGUGAGAGUGGAAAGUUCACACUGUGACGGUAUCUUACCAGAAAGGGACGGCUAACUACGUGCCAGCAGCCGCGGUAAUACGUAGGUCCCGAGCGUUGUCCGGAUUUAUUGGGCGUAAAGCGAGCGCAGGCGGUUAGAUAAGUCUGAAGUUAAAGGCUGUGGCUUAACCAUAGUACGCUUUGGAAACUGUUUAACUUGAGUGCAAGAGGGGAGAGUGGAAUUCCAUGUGUAGCGGUGAAAUGCGUAGAUAUAUGGAGGAACACCGGUGGCGAAAGCGGCUCUCUGGCUUGUAACUGACGCUGAGGCUCG
rnacentral:rRNA from 1 species